GAAUUAGUGUCUGAUGUUGGAUGUUCC
rnacentral:piRNA from 1 species